ACUCAAUUCAGGAGCACAUAUACAAUUAGAACUAUACAGAGAAGAUUAGCAUGGGCCCUGCACAAGGAUGACACACAAAUUCGUGAGGCAUUCCAUAUUUUG